rnacentral:misc_RNA from 1 species
GAUGAAGAACGUAGCGAAAUGCGAUAAGUAAUGUGAAUUGCAGAAUUCAGUGAAUCAUCGAAUCUUUGAACGCACAUUGCGCCCCUCGGUAUUCCGAGGGGCAUGCCUGUUCGAGCGUCAUUAUAACCCUUCAAGCUCAGCUUGGUGUUGGGGCCUGCUGUAACUGGUAGCCCUUAAAAUCAGUGGCAGUGCUAUUAGGCUCUAAGCGUAGUAAUUCUUCUCGCUAUAGUGUGUAGUGAGCGCUCGCCAGAACCCCAAACUUUUAUAUGAUUGACCUCGGAUCAGGUAGGGAUACCCGCUGAACUUAAGCAUAUCAAUAAGCGGAGGA